rnacentral:rRNA from 1 species
AUGCCUAAGCGAGAGGAAAAAAAAACCUUGACAAACUACAAUAAUGACUAUAUCUGUACCAACCAUUUCAUGACAAUACAAGGACAUUUACUUGUUCUUCAAAUUGUUCAUUUACUUGUCCUUCAUCUUGUCCAUUUACUUGUUCUUCAUCUUGUUCAUUUACUUUUUCCUCAUCUUGUUCAAGGCUGGUGGUUUUGGGUAAAUAAAUCACUCAAACGCGGAUGCCUGCCCUGUCACUCGCAUUCCAUUAGCACGACCCAAGUAUUGGUCCACGUUGUAGCACAUCGUGUACACCAUCUACCUCCAUCCGAACCACGGUGGGGCCAAGCGAUUCACUGCCGUCAUCACUGUGUACUCCACCCCCAUCAACUGAUACCCAGCCGCAACACUCAUGUUAGUCCGGGAGUGCAUGUUGUAUUCCAGUUCCUGGUACCUUCUAUGCCCAUACCCAUGAAAUUUAAAUACUUGCUAGUAUCUAGGGACACGUCAAAACACACACGAAUGGGGUUGUACAAUAUGCUUCGAUAG